AGAGGGAAUGGCUUUAAGCUGUGCCAGGGAAGGUUCAGCCUGGAUGUUAGGAAAUACUACUUCUCUGAAAGGGUGGUCAGGCACUGGAAUGGGCUGCCCAGAGAGGUGGUGGAGUCACCGAGCCUGGUGGUGUUCAAAGAGCGUUUGGAUGUUGUGUUGAGGGACAUGGUUUAGCGAGAACCACUGGUGAUGGGCGAAUGGUUGGACUGGAUGAUCCUGUGGGUCUUUUCCAACCUUAGUGAUUCUAUGAUUGUAUGAUUCUUUGAAUAUUGAACCUCUGUUUACUUUUGAUUUCUUUCUAUCACUAUAGAUUAAUGCAUAUACCCCAAGUCUUCCCAGAA
ensembl:lncRNA